GCCUAUAUCUUCUAUCUUCUUUGUUUUUUUGUCGUUCUUUCUUUUUUCUUUGUUUGUCUCCGGCAAAUCUCCUCCCCACCGCCGCCGCCGGAAGAUGGAGAAAUGCAGGAGUCUCCACCGCCACGACCGAAGACGACGAUUGCAGUGGGUAAAACGACGUUGUUGACGGGAAAACGAGAUGUGGGACUGCCGUCAAUCCCAGCUUCAACAGCGAAAUCGGCGGUCCAAUCGGUCGCCGGCCUUUACUCCAAUCUCUCUGCCAAUUUCUCCACCAUCGUUCACUAGCGGCUCUUUGUUGGAAAAUGAACCUCGAGUAAUUUCCUCUCUCAAUUCUGUCUUAAAAAUAAUUAGACUUCAGCCAUGGAUGUUUCUAAAUAAAUUUUUGAGUUUCUGGGAAUUGUUGGUUGAUUUGUUAGUGAGUUUGCGGUGGCGGUGGAAUUUUGAUAUUAAUUGCUAAUAGCAUGGUGCUUAUGCUUCGGAUUUUUGUUUAUCUUCGUGCUUAUGGUUUUAUAGAGGUUUCUUCCACAACUAUAAAUCCUUGUCAUCAAUAUUAAUAGAUAGAUGGAGAUUUUCUCACUACAAAAGUUUCAAUUAAGUUGGGAUUUAUGAUUUAUAUUCUUUUUUUUUGUGGGUGAAGUAAUGCGUUCAAAUCGAAUACGCAUACUUUCGGUUUUCGGAUCAAAUUUGUGUACAUUUCGUCUUUCUUGAAUUGUGUGAACAAAGAAGACAUUAAUGAACAUAAUUUUUUUCUUGCUUCUUGUUAAGUUAAUUUCUAGACGGUGGAUCUAGUGCGGAGAUCGAGGAAAAAAAAAUCGACGAACCGUGGCGGAAAUUUUCUGGUAUGGGGCAGAUUUCGAGGUUAAUCGACUAUGUGUUUGGGUAGUCGAUUAAGCUAAUCGACUAUGCUCUGGCAGUCAAUUAAGGUUGAUCGACU
rnacentral:lncRNA from 1 species